rnacentral:rRNA from 1 species
UACGUAGGGUGCAAGCGUUGUCCGGAAUUAUUGGGCGUAAAGAGCUCGUAGGCGGUUUGUUGCGUCGGCUGUGAAAUCCCGAGGCUCAACCUCGGGUCUGCAGUCGAUACGAGCAAACUAGAGUGUUGCAGGGGAGACUGGAAUUCCUGGUGUAGCGGUGAAAUGCGCAGAUAUCAGGAGGAACACCGGUGGCGAAGGCGGGUCUCUGGGCAACAACUGACGCUGGAGGUGCGAAAGCGUGGGGAGCGAACAGG